rnacentral:rRNA from 1 species
ACACUCCUACGGGAGGCAGCAGUGGGGAAUAUUGCACAAUGGGCGCAAGCCUGAUGCAGCCAUGCCGCGUGUAUGAAGAAGGCCUUCGGGUUGUAAAGUACUUUCAGCGGGGAGGAAGGCGAUAAGGUUAAUAACCUUGUUGAUUGACGUUACCCGCAGAAGAAGCACCGGCUAACUCCGUGCCAGCAGCCGCGGUAAUACGGAGGGUGCAAGCGUUAAUCGGAAUUACUGGGCGUAAAGCGCACGCAGGCGGUCUGUCAAGUCGGAUGUGAAAUCCCCGGGCUCAACCUGGGAACUGCAUUCGAAACUGGCAGGCUAGAGUCUUGUAGAGGGGGGUAGAAUUCCAGGUGUAGCGGUGAAAUGCGUAGAGAUCUGGAGGAAUACCGGUGGCGAAGGCGGCCCCCUGGACAAAGACUGACGCUCAGGUGCGAAAGCGUGGGGAGCAAACAGGAUUAGAAACCCUUGUAGUCCC